rnacentral:lncRNA from 1 species
GCUACGGUAGCACUUUCGUUUUUAUUUGACAAACAUUAUCCAAUCACGGAGUAACUAGACUCAAAAGAUUCAUCUCACAAAUUAUAGGUAAACUGUGCAAUUAGUUUUUAUUCAUCUAUAUUUAAUACUCUAUGCAUGUGACCAAAGAUUCGUUGUGACGGAGAAUCUUGAAAAAAAAACAAGGCCUGGAAACGAACUCAUGUGGUAGACUUCACAAUCACACUACGCCAGAAAAGCAAAAAAAAAAGGAAGACGGUAAGUCUGCAACCGUCAGAGAACAAGUAGUAUAGACGUCUCUGAGUAUAUUAGUCCACGGACGCACAUCCAAAUACUCGUCUGUGACGACAUAAUAUUGGAGAUGUGUUUUAUUGGAAGCCGUCUCUGAGAUAUCAGCAACACGCGUCCAUGAGACCCGUUCGUGAUGUAAAAUAUUUCAGAGACACAGAUCUUUCAUUACUUGUCUCGACCC